UGAAAUCAUCAUAUUUUAGCUAAGUACCUAAUUUCUCUUUGACCAAGUACUUUCAUUUUUUUAUUGAUCUGAUGUAUCAAACAUAUAGCCAUAUCGAUAUAUGAUAUCAUCAGUAUAUACAAGAUAUUCACCAUUCCCAAAAAUUUUUAGAAGCUCGCACACUUAUUGGAUCUCAAUCGCGUUCAAUAUAUUCCCAAAAAUUUUCUAUUCGCUAAAAAUUCUAUAAUUAUUGGAUCCGAAUCGUGUUCCUACAGUUUUUGGAUCCGAAUCGAGCUCCUGCAGUUUUUGGAUCUUAAUCGAACUACUACCGUUUCUGGAUCUAAAUCGUACUCGAACGUUUUCCACAAGUUUUUGCAGCGGUUUACCGUCAUAAAAACCGCACCGCUGCCGUAAUUACCUCUGUUCGCACCAUCACUGCUGAGUCGGUACUUCUUCAUUUUCCUCCAUUUUUUUUGCUUAUUUAUGUGUAUAUAUACACUAUAUAUGUAUAUAAUCUGAAUUAUGUUUGGUUAUCGAGCAUUGGAAGUUUGCUGUGAAAUUGUGUUUGUAAUAAAGUUAUUUGAAUAUCCUGUUAAAUUGUAGUUUUAAUCGAUUAAUUUCGUGAUAGGAAUAUAUUAUAUGAUGAUUUUCAACGCUUGAGUGUAGAACUUAUGCCUUGUAUGUGGAAAAAUAAGCUGAAGUUACCUUGUUGAUUCAUUUUUGGAAGUGUAAUUUUGUGUAA